AGUGGCGAACGGGUGAGUAACACAUCGGAACGUGCCUGGUAGUGGGGGAUAGCCCGGCGAAAGCCGGAUUAAUACCGCAUACGACCUGAGGGUGAAAGCGGGGGACCUGAGAGGGCCUCGCGCUAUUGGAGCGGCCGAUGGCAGAUUAGCUAGUUGGUGGGGUAAAGGCCUACCAAGGCGACGAUCUGUAGCUGGUCUGAGAGGACGACCAGCCACACUGGGACUGAGACACGGCCCAGACUCCUACGGGAGGCAGCAGUGGGGAAUUUUGGACAAUGGGCGCAAGCCUGAUCCAGCCAUGCCGCGUGCGGGAAGAAGGCCUUCGGGUUGUAAACCGCUUUUGUCGGGGAAGAAACGGCUCUGGUUAAUACCUGGGGCUAAUGACGGUACCCGAAGAAUAAGCACCGGCUAACUACGUGCCAGCAGCCGCGGUAAUACGUAGGGUGCGAGCGUUAAUCGGAAUUACUGGGCGUAAAGCGUGCGCAGGCGGCUUUGCAAGACAGGUGUGAAAUCCCCGGGCUUAACCUGGGAACUGCAUUUGUGACUGCGGAGCUGGAGUACGGCAGAGGGGGAUGGAAUUCCGCGUGUAGCAGUGAAAUGCGUAGAUAUGCGGAGGAACACCGAUGGCAAAGGCAGUCCCCUGGGCCUGUACUGACGCUCAUGCACGAAAGCGUGGGGAGCAAAC
rnacentral:rRNA from 1 species